rnacentral:rRNA from 1 species
UACGGGGGGGGCAAGCGUUGUUCGGAAUUAUUGGGCGUAAAGAGCUCGUAGGCGGUCUGUCGCGUCUGCUGUGAAAACUCGGGGCUUAACCCCGGGCCUGCAGUGGGUACGGGCAGACUAGAGUGCGGUAGGGGAGACUGGAAUUCCUGGUGUAGCGGUGAAAUGCGCAGAUAUCAGGAGGAACACCGGUGGCGAAGGCGGGUCUCUGGGCCGUAACUGACGCUGAGGUGCGAAAGCGUGGGGAGCAAACAGG